UGAGGAAUUUUCCGCAAUGGGCGAAAGCCUGACGGAGCAAUGCCGCGUGAAGGAUGAAGGCCUAUGGGUUGUAAACUUCUUUUCUCAGAGAAGAAUUUUGACGGUAUCUGAGGAAUAAGCAUCGGCUAACCCUGUGCCAGCAGCCGCGGUAAGACAGGGGAUGCAAGCGUUAUCCGGAAUGAUUGGGCGUAAAGCGUCUGUAGGUGGUUUACCAAGUCUUCUGUCAAAGAUCAGGGCUUAACUCUGGGCAGGCAGGAGAAACUAUUAGACUAGAGUUCGGUAGGGGCAGAGGGAAUUCCCGGUGGAGCGGUGAAAUGCGUAGAGAUCGGGAGGAACACCAAAGGCGAAAGCACUCUGCUGGGCCGCGACUGACACUGAGAGACGAAAGCGAGGGGAGCAAAUGGG
rnacentral:rRNA from 1 species